rnacentral:misc_RNA from 1 species
CCGAGUUCGGGGUUUCCCCAACUCCCACCCUUGGUUACAAGCAGUUGCUUCGGCGAGACGUUGGAAGCAACCAUCGGCGAUUCAUAAGAUGACCCGAUGCGUGCUCGCCGGACUCCAAAUACUCUGAGAUUAUGUACAGUCAGAUGAAACAAGCAAUUAAUAA